UUUAUCGCAUAUGUCGUUAUCCUUGCUAUGCUGCUUUGCUUGAUGAAAGAGGCAGAUGCAAAAAAGAAGAAGUGGUGCGCUUGCUAUAAUGGAUUUUGUUAUUGCAACAAGCGUUCUCUAAAUAUGUUGGAGGAAGAAGGAAGUGACCUUGUGGAGAAAAUAAACAAAAUGAGAGAGGCGGAGUUCACGAAAAGAUUCUUGAGAACUGGGAUGAAGUAAGAUAAAAUCAGAAGUGAAGGAAGACUUCAAAUUGAAUUGAACAAAGAAGUAAAAGAAUCAUUUGUUUUUUCUGAAAUAA